GCGGAUAUAGCUCAAAGGUAGAGCGUCGUUCUUCCAAAUCGGCAGUGUGAGUUCGAGUCUCACUAUCCGCU
rnacentral:tRNA from 1 species